CAAAUGGCGGCCUCGGGUACAUCCCGGGGCCACGCCCGUCUGAGGGUCGGCAAGUCUCAAGCAGUCGUCUCCCAGGAAUUUUAUUUGUCUGUCGGUCGGUUGGCACCGGCGGGCGAAGAACGGACCGCGGCAACGAAAUGAGAGGAGUUCCUACUUACGCUCCGUGCUCUUUGGAGCGGUAAGUGCUCUCUGGGAACUUUUUCUUAUUUCGCUUGCUUGAUGCGGUCCGAGGAGACGCUCUGGGUUCUCGAGGACCUCCUGUGGUCCCCGUAGCCUCAAAUUCAUGCUGCGCCGUCUGUGCAUAACGAUCUUCCACUGCAACGUUUCCCCCCGGCCCAUCUGGCGCAGCGCUCUUUGCGGCGGAUGGGCGGAGGUACGGGCCUGGCACGAAUGCAUCUGCGCCGCCGCCGAUCGGCAGGACUCGGCUUGUGUGAUCAAUCCAACGAGCCUGUCGGUUGUUCGGGGGAGGGUAGCAGAUGCAGAGCGUGUGAGGUUAGGGUGGAAGCGGCGGCCCCACACACGGAGUGGUGAAACACACACAACCUCCGACCUCAGAUCGGACGAGAUUACCCGCUGAAUUUAAGCAUAUAACUAAGCGGAGGAAAAGAAACUAACAAGGAUUUCCCCAGUAACGGCGAGUGAAGCGGGAAGAGCCCAGCACCGAAUCCCUCAGUGUCACGCUGACGGGAACUGUGGUGUGCGGGACGCCACCAGUCGCACCAGAGGGUACCGAAGUCCUCCUGAUCGGGGCUUCACCCAGAGCGGGUGUAAGGCCUUUGCUGGUACCUCUCUGUGCGGCCGCGAGCGUCUCAGGAGUCGGGUUGUUUGGGAAUGCAGCCCAAAGCGGGUGGUAAACUCCAUCUAA
rnacentral:rRNA from 1 species